CCAUGCUCUAGUGCUACAACUGUUUUUCACAGCAUUGCAACCACCUUUGAACAAAUUAAUUGAUAAUUUUAUGUAUUAUUUAUACCAGCAUUUAUUUUCUAAGUUUACACAGAUACUGGUAUGUUGAAAGACCAAAGCCUUAGAGCACCACCAGCACCCCCUACAGGCUUCCUAACUCAGCACUCACUGUCCCUGCUGUCACCAUGUUAUUCCGUGGAGUCACAGCUCACUGCAUCAGCAAGACCAACACCUUGUACCUGAACGAGACGGCAUCACCUUCACCUGGGCCUCCCCAUGGCCCUCCGUCUGCCCUGAACGAUGCAGCAGGUACCCCACCAGCCCUUACCCCAGGCCCAACCAAGCCCCUGCUGCUAAUGAUUCCCUGGUUGGGGUCGCGACCCCAGGCUGUGGCCAAGUACUGUGAGAUCUAUUUCCGUAAAGGCCUCGACGUGUUCAUAGUGGCGAGCGAGGUGCGGAAUGGGUUAAAGUUUAAAGAGGAAACGUCAUACUCUCUCUGCUCUCCUUUCUGUCUAAAACACCUCAGAUCCCCCCUCCUCUGCUCAGUUACUGUGGCCGUGCUGGGGUCUAGACUAUGGAGCAAGGGUACUAGAUGUCCUGCAGAGUGACCGCUUUGUGUCACGCCCCCUGCUCGUGCACACCUUUUCCAUAGGAGGGACACCUUUACCCAGCUACUUGUGCACGUGUCCCACGACUCACAGAAGUACCACGGCUAAACUAAGAGGAUCAGAGGCCACAUCUAUGACAGCCUAGUGCUGGGCUCACUGGAGAGAAAUUAGUUUAUUAUGACAUAGAAACACUACUAUGAUAGGUAUGAUUUUAUAUGUUGAAAAUAAUCUAUGCAAUCUUUAUGAAUUUUUAUUAAAAUAAAUAACGUUUUGUCAAGACAUACUGCAACUUUUCAAUGCAAUGUUUUCCAACAGAGGUGCUGUUUUACUGUAACUGGAUUAAAACAUGAAUUGAGAUGAA